AUCUCCGUGGCUUAGUCGGGAGAGCAGCCGACUAAGGUGCGAUAGGAUUCGGGUUCGAGCCCCGGUUAAGGUA